GCUUUCAACAUCCCCGUUCCGGGUCCGCCGCGGCGAACGCCGGGACUGAAGGC
rnacentral:sRNA from 1 species